rnacentral:rRNA from 1 species
GGCAUCCAACGACGAUUAAAGAUUUCAUCGGUCAGAGAUGGGGAUGCGUCUGAUUAGCUAGUUGGCGGGGUAACGGCCCACCAAGGCGACGAUCAGUAGGGGUUCUGAGAGGAAGGUCCCCCACAUUGGAACUGAGACACGGUCCAAACUCCUACGGGAGGCAGCAGUGAGGAAUAUUGGUCAAUGGGCGAGAGCCUGAACCAGCCAAGUAGCGUGCAGGAAGACGGCCCUAUGGGUUGUAAACUGCUUUUAUGCGGGGAUAAAGUGAGGGACGUGUCCUUCAUUGCAGGUACCGCAUGAAUAAGGACCGGCUAAUUCCGUGCCAGCAGCCGCGGUAAUACGGAAGGUCCGGGCGUUAUCCGGAUUUAUUGGGUUUAAAGGGAGCGUAGGCCGUGGAUUAAGCGUGUUGUGAAAUGCAGGUGCUCAACGUCUGCACUGCAGCGCGAACUGGUCCACUUGAGUGUGCACAACGCAGGCGGAAUUCGUCGUGUAGCGGUGAAAUGCUUAGAUAUGACGAAGAACUCCGAUUGCGAAGGCAGCUUGCGGGAGCACAA